rnacentral:rRNA from 1 species
GAUGAACGCUGGCGGCGUGCCUAAUACAUGCAAGUCGAGCGAACAGAUGAGGAGCUUGCUCCUCUGACGUUAGCGGCGGACGGGUGAGUAACACGUGGAUAACCUACCUAUAAGACUGGGAUAACUUCGGGAAACCGGAGCUAAUACCGGAUAAUAUAUUGAACCGCAUGGUUCAAUAGUGAAAGACGGUUUUGCUGUCACUUAUAGAUGGAUCCGCGCCGCAUUAGCUAGUUGGUAAGGUAACGGCUUACCAAGGCAACGAUGCGUAGCCGACCUGAGAGGGUGAUCGGCCACACUGGAACUGAGACACGGUCCAGACUCCUACGGGAGGCAGCAGUAGGGAAUCUUCCGCAAUGGGCGAAAGCCUGACGGAGCAACGCCGCGUGAGUGGUGAAGGUCUUCGGAUCGUAAAACUCUGUUAUUAGGGAAGAACAAAUGUGUAAGUAACUAUGCACGUCUUGACGGAACCUAAUCAGAAAGCCACGGCUAACUACGUG